GAUGAACGCUGGCGGCGUGCCUAAUACAUGCAAGUCGAGCGAACAGAUGAGGAGUUUGCUCCUCUGACGUUAGCGGCGGACGGGUGAGUAACACGUGUAUAACCUACCUAUAAGACUGGGAUAACUUCGGGAAACCGGAGCUAAUACCGGAUAAUAUAUUGAACCGCAUGGUUCAAUAGUGAAAGACGGUUUUGCUGUCACUUAUAGAUGGAUCCACGCCGCAUUAGCUAGUUGGUAAGGUAACGGCUUACCAAGGCAACGAUGCGUAACCGACCUGAGAGGGUGAUCAGCCACACUGGAACUGAGACACGGUCCAGACUCCUACGGGAGGCAGCAGUAGGGAAUAUUCCGCAAUGGGCGAAAGCCUGACGCAGCAACGCCGCGUGAGUGAUGAAGGUCUUCGGAUCGUAAAACUCUGUUAUUAGGGAAGAACAACUGUGUAAGUAACUAUGCACGUCUUGACGGUACCUAAUCAGAAAGCCACGGCUAACUACGUG
rnacentral:rRNA from 1 species